rnacentral:rRNA from 1 species
AUGGGCGAGAUUGGAGGACGUACGGGGGUUCGAUUUGUGCGUGGCUCGGGUGAAAUCGGUGAGCGAGUUUGCAGGCUGCCUGGUGACUAUGGGUUUGAUCCCCUGGGGCUCGGGAAGCAGCCUGAGGACCUGAAGUGUACUGCCGGUUCGCCAUGGCAGGGGUUGUCGGCAUCCUCGGAACUGAUUUCCAUUGGCUCCUACUGCAAACAGGUCUAUAACAGGUUAACACCUGGAGAGGCUCGAGCUAUGAGCAGCGAGCUGUUGCUGCUGCCGCCGGAUGCUCCAGCGGCGAAACCUCCAUCGAUUCCCUCCACGGCCACUACCACUACCCUAGCUACCGCCGCCGACGGAACCACCACCAUAUCCUCGCUCGGCCAAGACCAGCUCCUUGAGAUCUUCCUUCGCCUGCCGAGCCUGCCGGCCCUCGUCCGCGCCACGCUCACUUGCCGUUCGUGGCUCGACGCCGUCCGCUCCUCCCGCUCCUUCCGCAACCUCUUCCGCGCCCUCCACCCGGCGCCCCUCAUCGGGAUCUUCCUCGAUGUCGACGAAGGCAAUGUCUGCUUGUUCGCCCCCUUCAGCCGCUCAGAUCCCGGGGUCAAUAAGGACAUUACACUGGCAGAUUAG